GGCAAACGAAAGAAACAUUUUUAUGGAAACGAUUAACUUUUUAAUUUAGUGGUAAACUGGUUAGAUUAGUUUUUGAGUGGAUGUAAAUAAUGUUUAGUUAAGCCUAAACAGCCGAUAAGGCAAAUUAUUAAUUAUUGUUAGGAUGUCUAGUCAAUGAAUAAAAAAACAGGCCAAGUAAAAUGGUUCAACGAAAGUAAAGGUUUCGGUUUUAUUACCCCAACCGAUGGAAGCAAAGAUGUAUUUGUUCACUUCUCUGCUAUAUCAGGUGAUGGAUUUAAAACCCUAGCUGAAGGACAACAAGUCGAAUUUGCUAUCCAAGAUAGCCCUCGUGGACCAGCAGCGGCUGAAGUUGUUGUUAUCUAAUUAAAUUUAAUUAAAUAAUAUAAGCAAAACGCCUAUUUUUAGAAAUAGGCGUUUUUU
rnacentral:sRNA from 1 species